ACCUCCGUCUGCGGUUGGAGAGAGGAGAUGGACUGGCAAAAUAUCUUGCGAGCCCACCUCCCGCGUCUCCAUCGACCUAGCCGCCUCCAUGCUCAUGCAUCCUCCCGCGUCAAUGGCGCCCAAACCUCCUCAUCUUGGAUCCCGUGGGACCGAGGUGCGGGCAUGGAGGCGAGCAUCCCUGGCGGCCACGGCGACCUACAGGCAAAGGGUGGCGGUGGGGGCGGCGCUCGAUUAGAUCUGCGGGAGAGAGAGGGAGAGGAUGAGAGGGAGAGAUAAGGAAGAAGAUGAGGGAGAGAGAGAGAGAGAGUGAGAGAGAGGAAAGGGGAGAGGAAGGGCUUCUACGUCACCGCUCUCUGGAUGCACGCCAUCCACCCGCACACGCUCGCCACCAACCUCGCCGACUUCGCCAGGUUCGGCUUCCUCAAGGACCUUCCCGAGAUCCUCUAUCGUUUCCUCCGUGACCCCCGCGAUGAGCGCAAGGACCAGGACGAUAUCACCGCGGCGGCCCUGGGGGCAAGAGCGGCAAGCGGCAAGCGGCGCGGCGUCGACGGCCUUGCCGCCGCGGCGGCGGAGGCCGCCAAGGCCCGGUGCGAGAAGGAGGCGGAGCACGCGCAGGACGUGCUUGCGCGCUACGACUCUGACGAGGCCUUCCGCAACCUCUACGACGGCGUCGCCGACCUCUUCGUCUAGCUGCUCAAGUCGGGCCUGGAGCACCUGCGCGCGGGCGACACGGCCAAGAUCGUGUUCGCCGCCAAGUGCGCUCGUCGUACGCAUGGGUCUCCUUUGCUCCUUGGGUGCCGCUGGCUAAGAUUUGUCGUGCUCUUCUUCUCCUCUUCUUCCGCUCUGUUCUUUACUCACCUUUCUAAUUCCGCAUGCUUCAGUUUGUUUUGGUCCUGCGCAGUUCGAUUUGCCUUAUUGUCGCCUGCCUCGAGCCGUGAUUCCUUCUAAAUAACACUGACGCUAGGCACUGGUAGGAAUCCAGAGGAAAAGAAACAGUAAACCAACGAUGUUGUUUCUUUUUUAGCCUGCUCAAGGUUUGCUCUUUCCUACUUACUGUCAUGGUGGUUGGUUCACUGCUCAUUUUAUUGUUUCAGAAUUAGCAGCCCGUCGUGUUUUGAUUUGCCUCGUGCUGCUUAUAUUUCGUGUUUGCGUGUGGGAAGGAUGUGUGCUAUAGAUUUCAUGUGUGGAUCUGAGUUACCUAGAAUGGUUGAGAACCGAAACAACUUUGUCGCUGCAAUGCGUGUGUACUGCUUUUAGACAGCAAGUACCGAUAAUCAGCUCCAACACUAAAGAUUCAUUUAAUUUUAUCAUCAUUUUUUUAAGAAUAGAUAAAUGCAACAAAUGUCUAGGUAAGAUUAUCCACUACUGAAUUGUCUUUCAUUUUGCCUUCCAAUUCAAGUGCUUACAGGAUAACACAUGCAUUUUUUUCAACCUUACGACAGUACAAAUUUUUCGAAAAGGGUUUAAAUUGGUUUCUUUUGCGAGCGAUGGGUACAUACAGUUUGGGGAAAUAGGUGUCAAGGUACAAUAACUCCUUGACGAAUCAGUAAUCAAGUGUAACAAAAUGCUGCAUAUUUAUAUUUGGGAAGUGAACCAGGCUACUCAUUGAUUAAUAAAAGCUUUAUAGUUCUGUUCUCCUUCCAUUCAUUUCUUUAGUAUUAUUCAUUUAUUCUCUUAGAUUAAAAGGUUAUUGUGAUGAUGUCCUAUUGUUCUGUAUGUAUUGGAUGGAGGAUGUGUCGUCGAACGACCUCUUCCCUUGUUGCAAUUUCCCACAUGAGCUCCUUCUUCCUGCUCCUCGCUUCACCUCCCCCCUGCUCCUUCUAUUUUUUUUAAUUUUUUUUUCUGUGAUUGUGCUCAAUGGUGCUUGCAGGUCCAUGGACAUUGUCAUAAUGGUCACCUUACGGCAGUGUAUUAUUUUUGGAUCUCGUAUUCCUCAAGGCGCUCCAUCCGCUGAUUCGAUGUCGGCCAACCUGAGAAAUAAUAGGAGCAAUAAUCCAGCAGAAGAAUUUGGUGAAGAAGAACAAGAAAAGAAUACCUUUAUCCUGAUAGGCAUGGAAACACCGGUUCGCAUUGAGUGCAUCAUCGCUAAUCAGCUACUAUGUAUGAUCAGCGGACAUGCGUGCUUAUUCCUAGAGCAACGGAUAUAGAAGAAAUAUGUAAACAGUUGUCCCUAGAAGAAAUAUGCAACAACUUAUUCAGUAGAGAGCAAGGGACAUAUAAGAAAUCUCCAGGCAGCUUCGCUUAGAUGCAUCAUCUUCUGCUAGGACCUAGGAGUCAGCUUGAAGAACGACCUUCUCAGGAGACUGCAACUGACAUGCUGGAUGGUGAAUAACCAAAUUUGUGGACAAAGACAAAGAGUUCAUCGCAAGGGGUGGUGUUUAGGAUAUAUAUACACAAAAUAGGAAACUUUCUUUUGUAUAGAACCAAAUUAUAUGAUGUAAUUGACCACUAUUUCUAAGAAAUGUUCAUCGUGUAUUAAGUACAUUUUAUUGUGUCACUUUUUUUGAGGGGUAGCUUUAUUAAUCAAACACCACAAAGUGUGCAAUAGAGUUCAUCAAACCAAGCUUUAUUGUGUCA